UGAAGGACCAGGUUCAAUAUGUACGUUUUAACAGUUGGCCUACAUGUUGCAAUCUCUCAGCUCUCAAUAUAUUGUAAAAAAGGGAGAGGAGAGAGAGCAAUGAUGUAUAUCUUGCACCAUUAGACCACAAUACAGAUUGAAGUGGCAAGACGUCAUACGGAGCCAAACUGACGGCUCUUCAGCACAAGAUCCGAGAACUGGAGAAAGCUGGGAGGCAAAGACAACUCAUGCAAGACUCAGAUGGCAUCACUGGAGAAAAAAGCACGCAAGAGACUGAUGAAGGCCUCAGCUCUACAACGUCAGCUGAAUGAUAAGAAGACAGAGGUCUUCUUUCUACAUCAUAAG